AAGUGGUUGACCAGUUUUCCCAGCACCACUUGUUAAAGAGAUUUAUUUUUUAGAGAUUAGUUCUGUUUGAAACAUUUUUAUCACUCUGUUGGUUUUCUUUAAAUGUUUGGGAUUCUAGUUAGUGUUUUAGUAGUUGUAUUUGAAGGACUCAGUUGAAUGUUUUUGGUAGUUGGAGAAUUAUUUCUCAAGGACAAAAGGAAUUUUUAUUCCUUCAGCAGUGAAUUUGGUCAAAUCUUAGGAUCUGUGGCUCUAGCAGUUUUAUGGAGAGAGAAAGGCGAGUGCUUCUAGGAGCCUCAGGAUCUGAAGUUCUCUUCCUUUAUAAAGGUGUUUAUCUUUGGCAUCUGGAAUAGCACUUGCUUAAUAUUUAAUCCAAAUGCUAUUAUAUAGAUUAACCAAAGACCUAUGUUAAAGUUUUAUUUUUUAUAUUAAAGUUUUAGACACAUGCAUUUUCUCCUAGUAUUUCUAAAUAUCAUAUAACAGAAUAAUCAAAUUGAAAGCAUUGAUCUAAAUUAAAUCCUGCCUAGUAAAUAGGCUAUAUUCUCUGCUUUAAUGCCUGUUUUCACUUUGGCAUUUUCCAUCUUUUAUCUUUUGUCCAAAGCAGGGGCUGGAGAAGAGUUGCUGGAAUACUCAUGACGUAUUUUAGAGACAGGGACCAUACAACUGUGAUUUGAGUUUAGGAUUCACAUAAGGAAACAGUUGGAGAUAAAGCUGGAGUCAGGCUGUGAAGAUGUUUAUGUUUAUGUUUAAGGAGUUUAGACUUUAUCCUGUUAGCAGUGGAGUAUUUCUGAUGGGUUCUGAGCAAGGAAGCAUCAUGAUAAAAGCAGCUUUAUUUGACAGUGGUCUCCAUAAUAAAUAUAAGGGAGAAAGAUUAUGAGAACAUUGUGGUAAUCUAGGAUGAGAUGAUAAGGAUCUGAGAUAAAGUUGGGGAAGCUAGAAUGGAAAGACAGUGACAUAUAGAAGAGUCUGAACAAAAUAACGUUACGUUUUAGUAAUUUCUUGGAUGAGACAGUGAAGAAAGAGGAGUGCUCAAAGGCGACAUGCAAAGUUUCAAGCCUGGGUUGCUGGAAGAGGUAAUAUAGAAGUAAAUAAAGAAAUAAAAAAGAGGCAGCUGUUUACUUCCUGACUUUAGCUGUCAUUUGAACACUUAGACACAAUUGUGUUUUAUAUCUUGAGCUCCUUUAUAUAUUUCCUGUCCAUUGAAGCUGAGAAUAUCCAUUGAUUAGAUAAGGCUGAGAGGAUGAGAGGAGGGAUGUAAACGAUGGUGUUUGAACUUUGUGCUGGUCAGACCUGAGGACAAUCUGGUUGCAAUAUCUUCCGUCUUACUUGUGACCAAACUAUUCAGUGCAUCUGGCUAGCUGGACUCAGUCCAGUUCCCAUUCUGGACCAUAAUGAAGGAUAUCAGACUGGAAUCAUUUCAAGAAGUUGAUUCAUGAAAAAAUUAGACCUCGACCUGUUCAUCUAUCAAGAGAAAUUGCAAAAUUUUAUGAAGAUUGUUACCAGUAAAAGUUGCUUUAAAGGAGUCGCAGACCAAAGAAGGGCAUCUCUCCUUUUUACUGAUCAAGUUGUGAUGUUUAAGGCAGUGGUCUCAAACUUCAGUGUACUUUAAGAUAAUCGCCACAGUUUAUUAAAACACAGGUUACUGGGCCUCCUCCCCAGAGUUUUUGAUUUGGUUCAUCUAAGGUGGGGCCUGACAUGUUCCCAGAUGAUGUUGAUGGUGCUGGUUGGGGACCGAAUUUUUGAGAACCAGUGGUUUUGGGGGCUGGAAUAGGGAAUGAGGUGUGGAUUUGUAAUGGAGUCAGUUUCUUUGCAGUUAGAAAUUCCAUACUCUUCUGGCUGUACAUCCUGAACUCCAGUCUGCUGUGCUUUUUGUUUUCUGAGCAGCAGAAACCAGUCAGCAGGUGACAAAUUUCAUUACUCCACUUACUUUGAAUUUUCCCAGGGAUUACUAAGUAUACAACUGUUAGUGCUGGCACUUUUCUGUUAUUUUAAGGAUUUGUUGGUUUUUCCAAGGUGGUUUUUCCCUUGAUGCCAGAAGAUGUGAAUAAGAACAUGCUGAGGAUGUUCGGUCUGUCUUGGUAUGUGAAAUACUGUAGAAUUUAUUUUUUUCAUUUAAUAUUAAUUUUAAUCUGUGCUUUUUUUCUCAUCCCUUUUAAUUCUCAUUUAAUUAGUCAGAGUUACAAAUGGCAUCACUUAUAAACAUACUUGUAAGCCCAGCAAUGUGGCUUUCAGCAUUUCUGUAAUGAAAGUUUAAACUACUUGGAACUCUAGCUUACAUUCUUUUAAGUCUUUAUGAUCUAAAUAUUCUUUUCCAUGAUGCCAAAAAGGUUCUGUGUGAUCAUCUAAAGUUUGAAAUUCUUUUCAAAUCAAAGGCACUGCCAAAUGCAGAAGCAACUGUGUGUGAAGAAAAUGUGUGGAAACACCAGUCAUUACAGGGAUGGAACCCGGACCAUUGGCUGUGAAAGUAUGGACCCCUACCCAUUGGACCACCAGGGAAUUCCCUCCUUAUAUUCUUAAAGAGAUCCAAUAAAACAUGAAAAAAAUAAAUAUCUUAAGUGUGGCACCACAAACUGAAUGUGAGAGUGUGUGUGUAUAUUUAUGUGUUUGUGGGUGGCCUCAGAUUACUUUUAAUCUGUAGUGUUGAAUUAUCCAAAGUUCAUCUUAAGUAAGCGUGCAAGAGAUUUUAAAAGACAUUUCAUAUUAAAAUUUGACAAUUUUUUUUAAUGUUAAGGUGACCUACUGAUUCCAUCAAGUCAUCCAAACAAUAGUAUCAGCGUUAAGUUCCAGAACAGUAAAGCUUUCAGAACUACAAGUUUAACAUGUGAAUUUUAAACAUGUAAUUUAAUUAUAAUGAAAUUAAAUCAAUACUACGUCAUUAGUCUAUCUGCUCAAGUAAAUGAGAAAACUGUGGUCUUUAAGUGCAGUUUGGUUGGUUAAGCUUAACAAUUUCUGCUUUUUAAAAUUCAUGAUAGGCUACUAAGCCUCCUGAUAAACCCUUCCUUCCACUCCAAAAAUGUUUUGGGGUAAUUCAAAAUAGAAUGUGAGUUACUAAAUAACUGUAGGUGCUGAAGUAAUAUAGUUUAAUAGUUAUGAAAUGCAAGGAGCAUCAUUAUGAAGCCUGUAUUAAAUGAAGAGCCAGAGUGUAGAAAGUGAUUCAACCAUAAAAAAAUUGAUUAAUAGUACAUUGAACAAUAAAAUUCAAAUCUGGGAAUCAUGUUUGCAUAAUCUAAAAAUUUUCUACAUCCUCAGUUGUUCCUUUAAGUAUUUAUUCUUUUUAAAGCGUGCCUCUGAAGCUUCUUUAACUUUGCACAAAUUAUUGGCCUCAAAAUGUAAAUUUAAUAGUAUUGCAUCUAAUCUAAGUAAUAAGUUUUUUAGAACAGUAAUUAAAUAUCAAUAUUCUUCUUUGAAAACUUAUCUAUGAAAGCUACAGAAAAAAAAUAAAUGAAAAAUCCAGAAUUUUAUCCUCUCUGAGAUAGUUUUAUUGAUUUUUAUGCAUUCAGAAAAUAUUCUUUGAUAUAUUUUAUACUCUUUUUAAAAAUCUGUUUUGAAAUUUAGCUGAAGAAUCACUUCUACUGUUUGAGGGUAAGAAAAUUCUAUGAUUCUAUGUUCAAUCUCUUUAGAAAGAGUUUUUAUAACUUUGUUGUUGUUGUUAUUGUUCAGUCACUAAGUCAUGUCUGACUCUUUGUGACCCCAUGGACUGCAGCACACCAGGCUCCUUUGUCCCUCA